GGGUGGUGAAGUUGGCAUGGUAUUUGAGAUUUACGGAGUCUCUGAGGAUGGGUGGUGAAGUUGGCAUGGUAUUUGAGAUUUACGGAGAUUCUGAGGAUGGGUGGUGAAGUUGGCAUGGUAUUUGAGAUUUACGGAGGUUCUGAGAAUGGGUGGUGAAGUUGGCAUGGUAUUUGAGAUUUACGGAGGUUCUGACGAUGGGUGGUGAAGUUGGCAUGGUAUUUGAGAUUUACGGAGGUUCUGAGGGUGGGUGGUGAAGUUGGCAUGGUAUUUGAGAUUUACGGAGGUUCUGACGAUGGGUGGUGAAACAGUGACAGAGAGCGAGUGAAAAGGAAGGAGUUACAAAGUUCAAGUUCAAGUUCAAGUUCAAGUUUAUUAUCAUUUACUCAUAAACAGCAUUUAUCAGUAAUGAAAUUCUUUGUGCUCAAUGUCCGUUCAACUUAGAGAAAAAAAUAAAUGAAACACUGGAGAAUGGGGAAAAGGGGUAGGAAAAAGAGAAAAAAAUUGCAGUGC
ensembl:lncRNA